rnacentral:lncRNA from 1 species
CCUGCAAUGAAGUUGCAGCCUCCGUAUCAGCCAAAAUGCUCAGCGCCCACUUUAUGAAGGAGCAGGGGAAGAAACAGGAUCCUCAUUUGGCUCUACGACGCCUCCUCCACCUGCUUCCCCUGCCACCCUCAGCCCCAGCUCCAAGGAUAUGAAAAGACCAAGUGCCAGUGGAUGACUGGGGGGAGAAAAGAGAGCCUGAAACUUAUUGCAGGAGAGGCCAGAGUGUGAAUGCGAAGCUCCUGCAGGGCAAUGGAGGCCUCAAGGACAUGUUGACAUAGCUGGGAGUCUUGCUGGUCCAUCUCUGUCAUUUAACAGCUCUGUAGGGUUCCCUGCUAUAGCCCCAGUGCCCACUCAUAGGUAUUUGUUGAACAAGUGAAAAAGAUACUCAACAAAUGAUGACUCUCACUGUUAUUCAGGGAAUCACAUGAUGUUAAGAGGGAGGAGAUGCCCAGUGUUCCAGACACAUCUGGACAGCGCCUGGCAGACAAGACAGUCGGCCCUCAGGAGAUGGCUACUUAUUCAUAGUACAUGGUUGGUGCUGAGGCUUCUGAAAUGGAAUCUCUCAGCUGUCUGGGCUCGUGUCUCUUGGCCCAGUAGCUGCAUCUAAUCUCUCCAAGGAGAGGAAAAGGACAAACUCAAGUUGCAAAGAAAAUGUGCUGAUGAUGCAUUGCAGGGGGCAGUCCUUUGAGCAAGAGGUAAGUCCCUUGUGCAGAGGCAAGUCCCUUGCGCAGGAGGCGCUAUCUUUGCAGCAGUGGAGAAAGACAG